GAUGAACGCUGGCGGCGUGCCUAAUACAUGCAAGUCGAGCGAACAGACGAGGAGCUUGCUCCUCUGACGUUAGCGGCGGACGGGUGAGUAACACGUGGAUAACCUACCUAUAAGACUGGGAUAACUUCGGGAAACCGGAGCUAAUACCGGAUAAUAUAUUGAACCGCAUGGUUCAAUAGUGAAAGACGGUUUUGCUGUCACUUAUAGAUGGAUCCGCGCCGCAUUAGCUAGUUGGUAAGGUAACGGCUUACCAAGGCAACGAUGCGUAGCCGACCUGAGAGGGUGAUCGGCCACACUGGAACUGAGACACGGUCCAGACUCCUACGGGAGGCAGCAGUAGGGAAUCUUCCGCAAUGGGCGAAAGCCUGACGGAGCAACGCCGCGUGAGUGAUGAAGGUCUUCGGACCGUAAAGCUCUGUUAUUAGGGAAGAACAAAUGUGUAAGUAACUAUGCACGUCUUGACGGUACCUAAUCAGAAAGCCACGGCUAACUACGUG
rnacentral:rRNA from 1 species